UACGAAGGGGGCUAGCGUUGUUCGGAAUUACUGGGCGUAAAGCGCGUGUAGGCGGGGCUUUAAGUCAGGGGUGAAAUCCUGGAGCUCAACUCCAGAACUGCCUUUGAUACUGAAGAUCUUGAGUUCGGGAGAGGUGAGUGGAACUGCGAGUGUAGAGGUGAAAUUCGUAGAUAUUCGCAAGAACACCAGUGGCGAAGGCGGCUCACUGGCCCGAUACUGACGCUGAGGCACGAAAGCGUGGGGAGCAAACAGG
rnacentral:rRNA from 1 species